rnacentral:rRNA from 1 species
ACUCCUACGGGAGGCAGCAGUGGGGAAUUUUGGACAAUGGGCGAAAGCCUGAUCCAGCCAUGCCGCGUGUGUGAAGAAGGCCUUCGGGUUGUAAAGCACUUUAAGCGAGGAGGAAGGUUCGUUACUUAAUACGUAACGGAAUUGACGUUACUCGCAGAAUAAGCACCGGCUAACUCUGUGCCAGCAGCCGCGGUAAU